rnacentral:rRNA from 1 species
AGGACGAACGCUGGCGGCGUGCUUAACACAUGCAAGUCGAACGGGAGUAUUGAAGAAGCUUGCUUUAGAGAUACUUUAGUGGCGGACGGGUGAGUAACGCGUGAGGAGCUGUCCUAUGCAGGGGGACAACAGCUGGAAACGGCUGCUAAUACCCCAUAAGCCGAGAGGUAAAAGGAUCAAUCCGGCAGAGGAGGUACUCGCGUCCUAUCAGCUAGUAGGUGAGGUAACGGCUCACCUAGGCGAAGACGGGUAGCCGGCCUGAGAGGGCGAACGGCCACACUGGAACUGAGAUACGGUCCAGACUCCUACGGGAGGCAGCAGUGGGGAAUAUUGGGCAAUGGGGGAAACCCUGACCCAGCGACGCCGCGUGGGUGAAGAAAUCCUUCGGGAUGUAAAGCCCUGUUGUAUGGGAAGAGCGGAAGACGGUACCAUACGAGGAAGCCCCGGCAAACUACGUG